rnacentral:rRNA from 1 species
AGAUAAGACAGCUGAAUGAUAGUCGGGCUGAAGACUCUACUUGACUAGCUGAGAGGAGGUGCAUGGCCGUCGUCAGUUCGUACUGUGAAGCAUCCUGUUAAGUCAGGCAACGAGCGAGACCCACGCCAACAGUUGCCAGCAUGUCCUCCGGGAUGAUGGGGACACUGUUGGGACCGCCUCUGCUAAAGAGGAGGAAGGAAUGGGCAACGGUAGGUCAGCAUGCCCCGAAUUAUCCGGGCUACACGCGGGCUACAAUGGUCAGGACAAUGGGUAUCAACACCGAAAGGUGAAGGCAAUCUCCUAAACCUGUCCUUAGUUCGGAUUGUGGGCUGCAACUCGCCCACAUGAAGCUGGAAUCUGUAGUAAUCGCGUCUCAAAAUGGCGCGGUGAAUAUGUCCCUGCCGUCCUU